GGGCUGGGGCAGCACUUGGCUACACAGGAUCAGGGAGCCUGAGCAAGGAGGAGGCCCCUGGGGCAGGCAGAAGGUGGUCUGUGGAUAGUUCCCUCCAAGGUGCACGCAUGGGUGGCUGUACAUCUAAUUAGUGGAGCCGAGCAGGUGUGGUGCCUGGACUAAUUAGGUGCCUGGACUCUGGAGAAGACACACAUGUAAGGGUGCUCUUUCCAGACCUGCAAGAGGGUGCUUCUGAGACUGCAGCAUAAGCUGGAACUGAGCAAGCCACCAGAAGGCUGUGGGACACUUUCAUGAUGGAAAACGCAGCAGGAGUCUCUGCAUAUCAGAGAGCUCUGACUGCAAAUCUGCCUUCUCCUUCCACCGCCCACCUUUUGAUGUUUUGGAGGUGGCUCUCUCAUCCAGUCAAUGUCCUGCAGUUGGCUGGUCUGACAAACAACAGAAAGUCCAUCAGCCCAGUGAGAGGCUGACAUUCCUGAAGCCGAGAGACAUGAAUGGAGGUGGACAGGUAUA